rnacentral:rRNA from 1 species
GACGAACGCUGGCGGCGUGCCUAAUACAUGCAAGUAGGACGCAGUUGCGAACGGGUGAGUAACGCGUAGGUAACUACCUAUUAGAGGGGGGUAACUAUUGGAAACGCUAGCUAAUACCGCAUACUAGUAGAUGGACCUGCGUUGUAUUAGCUAGUAGGUAGGGUAAUGGCCUACCUAGGCAACGAUACAUAGCCGAACUGAGAGGGUGAGCAGACCAACUGGGACGGAGACACGGCCCAGACUCCGACGGGAGGAAGAAGGAGGGAAGGUUCGGCAAUGGGGGGAACACGGACCGCGUAACGCGGCGGGAGUGUAGAAGGUUUUCGGAUCGGAAAGCUCUGGUGUUAAGGAAGCGGUACUUAACCAGAAAGGGACGGCUAACUACGUGCCAGCAGCCGCGGUAAGUC